UACGGAGGGGGCUAGCGUUGUUCGGAAUUACUGGGCGUAAAGCGCGCGUAGGCGGACCUGCAAGUCGGGGGUGAAAGCCCGAGGCUCAAACCUCGGAACUGCCUUCGAUACUGCGGUCUCGAGUCCGGGAGAGGUGAGUGGAAUUCCUAGUGUAGAGGUGAAAUUCGUAGAUAUUAGGAAGAACACCAGUGGCGAAGGCGG
rnacentral:rRNA from 1 species